UGCCAGAUUCAUUGAUAACUCAGGCAGUGAC
rnacentral:piRNA from 1 species